AGAUUUAAAUUUUCAUCAAAGAUCUUUGAUUUAUGAGGAUAACUUACAGGGCAAUUGUUUGUCAUGGAGAAGAGGAGAUGAAAGUUCUUCAAGUUUAGAAUCAGACGACUGUAAAAUUUUAACAUCCAAUAAAAACUGCUAUAUUAAGGAAGAAUCUAGAGAAUCUGAAACAGAAUGUGAUAGGAUAUGGAAAUCAUUUGAAGAAUGCAAAUAUGAGACAAACAAACGUUGGGUUGAGCACACAGUUACUGCUCUCUCUUAACGACUUUCUUUAAAAUACCUAAGAAUCUGAAAGACAUAGCGUUAGUUGUCUGAAAAAGGAGGCCAGCAAAACUACUUUUGAAAAAAAAAUGUGUAUUAUGUUUACAUAUCAAUCUGGUCAUUUGAUGAAAAAGAAUCCCUUGUGAAACAAGUUCAGAGCUUAUAUUCAAUUGCAGGAAGAAAUAUACGGAUAAAACUGUUGUCUUUUAUGUAAAGAAAUUUAAAAAUAAUAAUCUGUCACGG